rnacentral:lncRNA from 1 species
AAAGGAUUCUUAUCCGCAACAUUAUUUGUUUGAUGUGCAUGUUAAAUACAUCUCUUCCCACCCACUCCAACUGUCUUCAUUUGAAAAACAUCCCCUCAGCUCUCACCUGCUAAUCCUACGAUUCUUGAUUCAUGGGGAUCCAUUAUCCCGCCGCCACCCCAUUUCUGCUGAUCAUGGCGGUGCUGGCCGCCAGCCACGUCUCUAACGGCCGUGAGAUCCACAGAUUUGCCACCGAGCAAAAAUCAUCCACCACCAAGUUCAACUCGCAAUUUUCAUGGUAUGUUUCAGCUCCUAAAAGUGCAGAAGGUGAUACAGUUUAUAGAGUAUCACAUCAUAAAACUCCGGGAGGACCAAAUCCUCUACACAACUGAUCAGGCGGCUCAUGCAAUUAGGGGAGCCUCCACCGCCUGAUUUGUGUAAUGCCUGAGCUGGCUCUGAUCGCCUAGGUGGGUUCAACACGAGUUUUGCCGACGAUUACAAAUUAUAUUCAAAAUCUUAUAUGGGAAAUUUCAUAACUCUCUCCAAGAUUGUUAAUGAUUGGUCUGAACUCAAUUAUGUAAUUAAUGCGAUUGUAACUUUAUGGCUAGUAUUUUAGCUGAAGAAUAGGAUGUUUAGUGAAUACAAGACUGUAAAAAGCGU